UCGAGCGGACAGAAGGGAGCUUGCUCCCGGAUGUUAGCGGCGGACGGGUGAGUAACACGUGGGUAACCUGCCUGUAAGACUGGGAUAACUCCGGGAAACCGGAGCUAAUACCGGAUAGUUCCUUGAACCGCAUGGUUCAAGGAUGAAAGACGGUUUCGGCUGUCACUUACAGAUGGACCCGCGGCGCAUUAGCUAGUUGGUGGGGUAAUGGCUCACCAAGGCGACGAUGCGUAGCCGACCUGAGAGGGUGAUCGGCCACACUGGGACUGAGACACGGCCCAGACUCCUACGGGAGGCAGCAGUAGGGAAUCUUCCGCAAUGGACGAAAGUCUGACGGAGCAACGCCGCGUGAGUGAUGAAGGUUUUCGGAUCGUAAAGCUCUGUUGUUAGGGAAGAACAAGUGCGAGAGUAACUGCUCGCACCUUGACGGUACCUAACCAGAAAGCCACGGCUAACUACGUGCCAGCAGCCGCGGUAAUACGUAGGUGGCAAGCGUUGUCCGGAAUUAUUGGGCGUAAAGGGCUCGCAGGCGGUUUCUUAAGUCUGAUGUGAAAGCCCCCGGCUCAACCGGGGAGGGUCAUUGGAAACUGGGAAACUUGAGUGCAGAAGAGGAGAGUGGAAUUCCACGUGUAGCGGUGAAAUGCGUAGAGAUGUGGAGGAACACCAGUGGCGAAGGCGACUCUCUGGUCUGUAACUGACGCUGAGGAGCGAAAGCGUGGGGAGCGAACAGGAUUAGAUACCCUGGUAGUCCACGCCGUAAACGAUGAGUGCUAAGUGUUAGGGGGUUUCCGCCCCUUAGUGCUGCAGCUAACGCAUUAAGCACUCCGCCUGGGGAGUACGGUCGCAAGACUGAAACUCAAAGGAAUUGACGGGGGCCCGCACAAGCGGUGGAGCAUGUGGUUUAAUUCGAAGCAACGCGAAGAACCUUACCAGGUCUUGACAUCCUCUGACAACCCUAGAGAUAGGGCUUUCCCUUCCGGGACAGAAUGACAGGUGGUGCAUGGUUGUCGUCAGCUCGUGUCGUGAGAUGUUGGGUUAAGUCCCGCACCGAGCGCAACCCUUUGAUCUUAGUUGCCAGCAUUCAGUUGGGCACUCUAAGGUGACUGCCGGUGACAAACCGGAAGAA
rnacentral:rRNA from 1 species